AUGUUGCCUUGGAAGAGCAGACACAGCCCACAAAGUGCCCUCCCUCUGAGUGGAAGUAAAAGGACUAAACCAGUUGCUUUUAGGGGGGGUGGGUGCCUGGAUUAUACUCUUCUGCCUUCUGAAAACUUCACUUCUGACAUAACUCCUCUCAUCCAUAGAAAACCCACCGAAGCAAUAAGCAAGAAAGGCAAGAAAACAAGAGAUCCAUUUUUACCCUUGAACAACCUACAGUUAAGAUUGGGAUUGGAACCCAAAUGCAACCUAAGUAUCAUGUUCAUGUUCAUGCUCACUAUGUAA
rnacentral:lncRNA from 1 species